rnacentral:lncRNA from 1 species
UAUUUUUUUUAAUUAAUUUUUUACAUUAACAUAUCUUUGAUUUGGAUUUUUUCAUAAAACUGUUCAUUUCAUUUAAAUCACAGAUUUUUAAUGAUUUUACAUUUCUGUACCUCAUCUUAGAUGUUUUUGACGAGCAAAUUAUUGUUUGUUUAUGUAUGUGCGUUUGUGUUUUCGUGCAGCGAUGAAUAUAGAGAGGAUUAUCGAGUGUAUAUCGAGUGUAUCAGAGAGGAUGACCAGAAAGGACUGAAGGCAGAACUACAGCAAUUUAAUCGAGAGUAUGCACAGUGUUUCUUCUAUGAUUUGGAGGAGAGGGAGAGAAGAAGAGUAAGAGAUAUUUAAAUGCAUACAUAUUCAGAAAUUAGGUCUUCUCUAACUGUUCUCAUGUGUAAGAUUUUUAAUAUGAACUCCAUAGAGUUCUCCGAGCUGAGCUGUUUUCCUCUGGGCAGGAAAUAUUCCUGCAUGUCCUCAGCUGUUUGCUGAUACUGCAGUUGACGUGAUCCUCCUCGGCCUGCAGCUCAUUAAUAUUUAGACCAUAAGCUCUCAAACCAAAUCCAUCCCAGAGAGCAAGUCAGUGUUU